rnacentral:lncRNA from 1 species
GACCCCCCCGCGGGAUGCACCUGAGCCGCGAGGACGUGGCCGGGGUCACCGCCAACCCCGACCUGGGUGCCCUGGCGCUGCGGCAGCUCGACUGCCAGCUCGUCUCCCUCAAGCGCCAGGUAGCUGUGCCCCAAAUUUACAUGGGGGGGGACAAAAACACCCCAAAAACAUUGGGGAGCCCCCCCACGAUCGCUGUGUCCCCCCCCCCUGGCCGCGGUGGCAGUGCUUCAAGCAGAUCACAGCGGGCUGAGGCAGGCGCUGGAGGGCGGCGUGGAGGGCGUGGGGCCGCCCGAGCCCACCAGCAAAUUCAGCUCCCGCUGGACCACGGACGAGCAGCUGCUGGCGGUGCAGGGUGAGUGCACACCGGGGGGGGUAUCCCAAGAACGGGGGGGGUAUCCCGGGAAGGUGGGGGGCCCCCCCAUUAACCCGCUGCCCCCCCCCGUUAACCCAAUGUCCCCCCCUCACAGCCCUGCGGCGCUACGGCCGCGACUUCCCGGCGGUGGCUGCGGUGCUGGGCACCAAGACGGCGGCUCAGGUGCGGAGCUUCGUGGCCAGCGCCCGCCGCCGCUUCGGCCUUGACCGGGUCCUGCGCGAGUGGGAGGCCGAACGCAGCGGCGGCGGGGGCGUCCCCCCCCCCCCGCCACCCCCCCCCCCGGGAGAGGGGGGGGGUAAGGCGAGGGGGGGGGAGGGGGGGGCCCCCCCCCCCCCCUCGCCCGGUGCCUCCCCCCCACCGCCGCCGCCACCAACCCGCCGCCUCUCCCCGCAGGUGCAGAUCACGGCGGUGUCGGCGCCCCCCCCCGC